AUUGAACGCUGGCGGCAGGCCUAACACAUGCAAGUCGAGCGAGCGGCGGACAGGUGAGUAAUGCCUGGGAAUUGCCCAGUCGAGGGGGAUAACAGGUGGGAACGUCUGCUAAUACCGCAUACGAGUGGAGUGCCCAGGUGUGAUUAGCUAGUUGGUGAGGUAAUGGCUCACCAAGGCGACGAUACCUAGCUGGUCUGAGCGGAUGAUCAGCCACACUGUAACUGGGACACGGGCCAGACUCCUACGGGAGGCAGCAGUGGGGAAUAUUGCACAAUGGGGGAAACCCUGAUGCAGCCAUGCCGCGUGUGUGAAGAAUGACUUCGGGUUGUAAAGCACUUUCAGCGAGGAGGCGUUACUCGCAGAAGAAGCACCGGCUAACUCCGUGCCAGCAGCCGCGGUAAUUC
rnacentral:rRNA from 1 species